GUAGGGAAUAUUGGACAAUGGGGGCAACCCUGAUCCAGCGACGCCGCGUGAGUGAUGAAGGCCUUCGGGUCGUAAAGCUCUGUUGCAGGGGAAGAACACAAUGACGGUACCCUGCUAGAAAGGAUCGGCUAACUUCGUGCCAGCAGCCGCGGUAAGACGAGGGAUCCUAGCGUUGUUCGGAAUUAUUGGGCGUAAAGCGGGUGCAGGUGGCUUGGUAAGUCAGAUGUGAAAGCCUGGGGCUUAACCCCAGAAGUGCAUUUGAUAAUGCUGAGCUUGAGUGCUGGAGAGGCUAUUAGAAUUCCUGGUGUAGUGGUGAAAUACGUAGAUAUCAGGAGGAAUACCGGAGGCGAAAGCGGAUAGCUGGCCAGACACUGACACUCAGACCCGAAAGCGUGGGGAUCAAACAGGAUUAGAAACCCCUGUAGUCC
rnacentral:rRNA from 1 species